UACGGGGGGGGCAAGCGUUGUUCGGAAUUACUGGGCGUAAAGGGCGCGUAGGCGGCCUGCUAAGUCGGACGUGAAAUCCCUCGGCUCAACCGGGGAACUGCGUCCGAUACUGGUGGGCUCGAAUCCGGGAGAGGGAUGCAGAAUUCCAGGUGUAGCGGUGAAAUGCGUAGAUAUCUGGAGGAAUACCGGUGGCGAAGGCGGCAUCCUGGACCGGCAUUGACGCUGAGGAGCGAAAGCUAGGGGAGCAAACGGG
rnacentral:rRNA from 1 species